rnacentral:lncRNA from 1 species
GAAAAGCAUACUAAUUUAUUUGAUAACAUCAAUCUACAUUAUUUUGGUUGCCAUGGUAAUAUAGAUGGAAGACAAUACAUACAGAACAUUGAUGGAGGUGUUUUUUUAAAUUUGGAGCAUGUAGGGCAUGUUGUGAUUUAAUGUUCAACGGCAGAGAUGCCAUACAUCAUGGACGAUGGUGGACGAAGGUACUGACAGGUCUGAACCAUAAAUGGGUUACCAUGGAAACAUACCUCUACAUAGAAGCAAUGAAGCUGCAGUAGUGUAAUAGCCAACCUGUACAAAGUUAUAUAGCAGAUUUCAGACAGUAGGGGUUACCAUGGAAACGUACCUCUACAUAGAAGCAAUGAAGCUGCAGUAGAGCAAUAGCCAACCUGUACAAAGUUAUACAGCAGAUUUCAGACAGUAGGGUGUGUAUGUUUACUUUUUCAUUUCUUGUGGCAACACUGAUUUAUUGUACCCCCCAACAACAAAGUUGUAAGGG